AUGGAUUUUGCAUUAAUUAAGGCCUUGAAUCAUGCAAAAAGUCAUUACAUGUACUGCAGGCAUUUAGAAAUUUUUUGUGUGUGUGUAUAUAUUAUUAUUUUAUGGGUAGUGUAUGUUGUACAGACACAUCGAUUUGUUCUCGCCAUCUCUGCCGAACAGUGGGAGUGCAUUUACACUAGGCCGUGCGUGCAGCACACUGAGUGUGGAUCUGCAGGGGUCAGGUCUAGACAAGCAGCCAUGCAGACCUACCAUACAAUCACACCUUCCAUUAGAGAUGUGCAAGCUCGACACGCAUAACCUGUAACCUCCAUUUUAUGGGUAUUUGUUAUUGUUUUGUUUGAGAUGCUGUGCUUUAAAUUUGAGAUUGUAUUUGCUUAUCACUUGACACUUAUCUCAUGUUUUUUGUUAAGGAAGGUGUGUAAGUCAUUUGAUUGGCAUGUUUAUUCAGCAGUAUAGACAGAUGACUGCUUAUACUGUAAAAUGAUAGCAGUAUUGCACAUCCAGGAAAUAUAAACACAUUGCUUGCCAAUGUCAAAUAUACACUGGUAAUUUGCAUACAAAUAGGAGGUCAGAUUUGCAUAUCAGGUCUAAAAGCAGCCUAUUAUGCCAUUCAGUCGAUGGGAAAUGUCUCUGAAUGAAAUUACCCUUUCGUUGACUUCUGAUACUAAUAAAAAUAACUGCUUUUGAAUUAUAUAUAUCUGUUUGACAUCAUUCACGUACUUAACCUCAUACUACAUUCUACAUGACAUGCCAUGUGCAAAUAUUAUUUUUUAGUAAUUGCUUUGUGUAUAAGCUAUAAAUACUCUCUGAAUAAUCUCUCUGACUCAGAGGUGAGGAGCAGUGUGUGCUUUGAAUAUACAGUGAGAAUAUAUUUGGUAAACAAAUUAGCUUGAUAAUAGAAGUAUUAUCAGAUGGACCAUACAUAAGAGAACAGGCAUACAGAUAUUAUUGUUCAUUAAAAUUCAGUGAAAAGAAUAAAGAAUCCCAUUUGAUUCAUGCACUCCCCCACUAUACUGCAUGCUGUUUUUAAUACAAAUUUUUUUAGGGCUGUCAAACGAUUAAUUUUUUUAAUCGCAAUUAAUCGCUGAAGCUUCUUAGUUAACUGCGAUUAAUCGCGGUUUGAAUUGCACGUGUAAAAUUCUGUUAUUUUGCAUAUCAAGGCAGUUCUAAGCCCAUAAUGUAGAAUAUCUUACCAGCGUUUUCAUUGGGAAUCAAAAGAACACAAAAUUUCCUUUUUGAACUUUUUUUAUUAAAAAAAAAAAGUGCAAUGUAGACCAACUUCCAAAUAUUAGGAGGAAUAAAGUAACGCAGUGCUUACUUUGAGAGAUUACAUUUAUCAGGCCACUCUCUUAAGCUACUUCAAAAAUAAACAAUAACAUUAUUAGCAAAACAAUUCCUAGCUGGAAAUAACAGCAAUCAAGUAAUAUGUAACACUGGUAGGAAAUUUCUAACUCGCUUAUGACAAACAGAACAGUCUAAAACAUUGACGGCCACAGCGGGAUAUUUGUAACAUUUUCUAGUUUUAAAUGAAGAAUGUCAUCCUUGUAAUUAACCUGUGCUGAACAUGGAUGAAAAAAAAGUCCAAAUGACAGUAAGAUUAAAUGAAAAAUAGUGCAUGAUUGGAUAUGGGAUUCAGAACUAUCUGAGUUCUAAGUUGUCUCUCCUAUUUCUUUUCUUUAACCCAAUUGCUAACACACACCAGUCUGGUGACAUUAGCAGUGGACAGUGCUGCUCUCUUUUUUGCAAAAAUGUGACCAGAGAGUGAGAACAGUCUUUCACACGGUACCGUUGUUGCAGGUGUAGCCAGAUAUUUUUGUGCUAGAGGUGCCAAGGUUGGGUAGGCCCUUGCGUGUCCAGACCACC
ensembl:lncRNA